UGUUUUGACAGCAGUUGUGAAAUGUUUAUCUCUCUUCCAGCUAUCGUAACACCUAUAUGUAAAUUUGACUGCAGUCUUUAUUCCUUUUUAAAAGCGGAUUUUAAGUGCUCAAAAGAAAGUUUUACGUAAGUAACGUUAAGCGUACAUUUGGUAAGUCCUGUAUGUACAGUAGAUGUGUACCCUUCUGAGUUGUCUCCGCGUUUUGAAAGAUGAAAGAUUGAAAAAUAGUCGGCAUGGUACACUCGUCGUCUAUAAUAUGUAACUUCGGACUAUCAAUUGAUGGCACCCACCCCAUCAUUGCCUGUAGCAAUGGGGACAUUGGAUAGCUAAAACUUUUUUUUGUUUGUUUUUUUACUGUACAGUCAUUGAUAUGCUGUGUGCUGUAGAGAGCAAAUGUUGGUCACACCUGUGAGAGUUGGGAGUGGGAUCCGGACAGUAAAUCUCCUGAUGCUCAUCUGUCUCUGUGCCGACAAGCUGUGUAUUUCCACCCUCUGCUGGACAGUCAGGGUACUGCAGGGGUCAGAGGCACCAAAGGCAUCGACAGCGAGAGUUGGGAGCUGUCAUAUAAAGGCUUCAUCUGGCAUAACAGAGGGAGGCACAAAUACACAGAGCCUUCUUAUGAAAGAAAUACAGUCCUUGGGGUUUUGCUGGACUUGAGCGCUGGAACACUGACGUUCUUCUGGCCUGGAGCAGGCCAGUGAGGCUCUGUAUCCUCUAGUUUCAGCUGGGUGUGAGGAGCCAGAGAAUCUCCUGCCUACAGGACCCACAUUAUAGACACGCACACGAAUUACCAUUACCCACAGCUCUGCUCUGUCAAAUACACACACAUGUGCAUUUAUAAAGGAGGUAUGACUUGUUUCUGAUUUAUUUAGAACAUACCAACCUCAAAUACCAACACAAAAAUGUCUUGUGCAGCAGAUCCAUUUUAUAAGCAGCCUACCUCAAAAAUUAUGUUUAUUACUUCAGCUGAACAAAAAAACACGUGUGACCCUAAUGUAAUCAUAUUACUGUUUGUAUUCUUAAUUUAUAUCCCAUUUCUGCAUUUUAUACAUGAUGUUGUUGCCAAUGAUUGUGUACCAAAAUAAGAUGUAAUUACCUGUAUUUAUAAUUAUUUGUAACUUUUUGGGACCAAAUAUGUAAAAGCCAAUUAAAUAUAACUGCCUGCUUUAAUAUGUAUUGAGAAAACUGGUAAAAGUGUUUCUAUUUGCUCACCAAAACCUGUGGAUGUUAAAAA